rnacentral:rRNA from 1 species
AUUCCAGCUCCAAUAGCGUAUAUUAAUGUCGUUGCAGUUAAAAAGCUCGUAGUUGGAUUUCUGGUUGGACCGCGAUGCCGGACUCGCAAGGGUUCGUGAUUGUUGUGGUUUCCUUCCAUCCUCAGGUUUGCGCGUACUGGCCUUAACUGGUCGGUGGGUGUGGUCCUGUCGUUUACUGUGAACAAAUUAGAGUGUUCAAAGCAAGGUGUACUUGAAUACAUUAGCAUGGAAUAAUAAGAUAGGACUUUGGUGGUUCUUUUUGAUAUUUUGUUGGUUUGCACGCCAAAGUAAUGAUUAAUAGGAGCAGUUGGGGGUAUUCGUAUUCAAUCGUCAGAGGUGAAAUUCUUGGAUUUAUAGAAGACGAACUACUGCGAAAGCAUUUACCAAGGAUGUUUUCAUUA